CAAUAGCGUAUAUUAACGUUGUUGCAGUUAAAAAGCUCGUAGUUGGAUUUCUGGAGGGAGCGUCGGCCCGUAUUUACGAGUGCGUGACGUCUCUGUCCAUCCUUGCGGGAAGGCACGGCAUUGAUUUGUUGUGUCGGAUCGCAUCAUUUACUGUGAAAAAAUUAGAGUGUUCAAAGCAGGCUUUCGCUUGAAUACAUUAGCAUGGAAUAAUAAGAUAGGACUGCGGUCUAUUUUGUUGGUUGAGCCUAAAGUAAUGAUUAAUAGGGAUAGUUGGGGGCACCUGUAUUGCGUUGUCAGAGGUGAAAUUCUUGGAUUUACGCAAGACAAACAGCUGCGAAAGCGUCUGCCAAGGAUGUUUUCAUUAA
rnacentral:rRNA from 1 species